rnacentral:rRNA from 1 species
UACGUAGGGUGCAAGCGUUGUCCGGAAUUAUUGGGCGUAAAGAGCUCGUAGGCGGUCUGUCGCGUCGGCUGUGAAAACCUGGGGCUCAACUCCGGGCCUGCAGCCGAUACGGGCAGACUAGAAUUCGGUAGGGGAGACUGGAAUUCCUGGUGUAGCGGUGAAAUGCGCAGAUAUCGGGAGGAACACCAGUGGCGAAGGCGACUACCUGGCCUGUUCUUGACGCUGAGGCGCGAAAGCUAGGGGAGCAAACGGG